UUCCGCCCUUUUGUUUUUGUGUCACUUGGCUCCACCCAGCAACUUUCCAAAACAAAAUUCUUCUUCCAGGUCACCUAUUUUUCUUUUUUUGCUUUGUUCCCUUUCAAUUCCUAGAAGGCAGUGACGGAUUUUGCUUUUGUAUUUAUAUCCCCAGCUCUUAGCUUUCGGCUUUGUCUUUACUAAAUGCUUAAAUUCCUGUCCUUUCGAAACACUGCCUUUCUUUUCUUUCUUCCUUUACUUUUUUCUUUUUCUCCCAUCUAGGCUACUUUUUAGUUAAGUACUUGGUAUAUAUUUGUAUUAAUUUAAUGCUUUAAUUUAAUUUUAAUUUAAUACUGUGUGGAUUUGGGGUAGUUUUUAAAAAUUACAUUUCAGUGGAUUUAUCAGCCAGUUUUCUUUGUUUUCCGUACUCCAUGCUCCCGGAGGGCCAAACCAUUUAACUAUUGCUAUAUAUUUUUAUAUACGUUUGAUAUCUUCUCCGUUAGAUUGUAAGCCCCUUUCCAGAAAGAAUAGUUUCAUUUUACUUUUCAGUUAGUAAACAUUUAUUAAGCACCUACUAUGUGCCAGGUCGAGUGCUGGGAAUACUAAGCAAAGCAGUCCCUGCUAAGGGGAGCUGGGGAGAAGGGGUGGCAGGUGGGGAAGUAACAUGAAAACUGUGUCUGGGGACAGCCAGAUGUCUCAGUGGAUAGAAUACUGGGUCUGGUUUCAGAUUCUCACUCUAACAUCUACCACUGUUAUUUGAUCAGUUUGUUCCCAUUGACAAAUUCAAGUUCCUGUGACCUCACUUGGGGGUUUUCAUGGCAGAGAUCUUGGAGAGGUUCACCAUUUCCUUCUCUCCCUCACUUUACAGAUGAGGAAACUGAGGCAAACAGGAUUAAAUUAUUUGCCCAAGAUCACAGCCAGUAAGUGGCUGAUAUCAGAUUUGAACUUGAUCCUCCUGCAUUCUAUCCACUUUAUCACCUAGAAGCCUUUGGACAAAAUCUUUUCUUAUCUGAAAAUGAGUUUACUGGACACCCUGAAAUCUAUCCAAGAAAUCCUCAUGUUUGGAACACCUGAACUAGGGGCCCUCUAAGAUAGUUUCAGCUCUGGAGCCUAUGAUCCUAAUGGGUUUGCAGUGGAAGCCCAACCAGUGGCCAGACUUCUCUUUAUUGGCUUCAGGCAGAGAGAUUGAUGUACCAGAGUUACUGCUGAUCCUACUGACCUUGUUCCUGAGUUCCUAUUUCCUAUUUAUCAUCUGAUUUACUGAGAAGAGCCAACCUGAGCCAGAAAGAUCUGUCAUCAACUGAAGCCUGGCUGGACCCUGUGGGGUGACUCUGCCAUUCACCACCGCCUUAUCAAAGCAUCCUAAACUAUCUUUUGUCUACCAAUACUAUUUUGGGGGGCCAAAGACAGGAAAGGUAGAUAGGAUUUGGGGGUUCAGAAACAGUCAGUGUAGAAUUAAGCAGCUUGGAAGACACAGAAGGCAGACCUGCGAGGGUCUCUUAGUUUAGGGAAAGAGAUCUAGAGAAUUAUAGAUUAGGGAAACUUGCCUUGGCCCUCCUUUUCCCUGUGUGAUAACACCCAAAUAAACCCUCUUUGUUUGGAAAUGUGAAAGAGAAAUUGUAAGACAUGCAAAAGGGCAGAAGCAGUGGCUGAGUGAUGACCUGACUGUCAAUCAAAUGAAGAUUCUGAUUUGGAAUGUUACCAGGAAAGAUAGUUUGGAGCCAAACCAACUGCUGGCUGGAUUCUGGUGGCUUGGCUGAUCCUGGUGACUGAUUUUCUGGGCUUGGCUGAAUGGUGAUUGACUUUAAAUCAUGAUCCUGACUGAUUUCCUGGUUGCCUUUGAAUCGGGAAGGAAGAAGCUGGGUUUAUCUCUGGGACUUGGGACAAUAAAGCUGGAGGUAGCCUGGUGACUUUGAAGGCAGAAGAAGAAGGACAAUAGUCCAUAUAUCUCUCUGACUUGCUCUGUUGGUGAUAGUGACUGAAAUUCUAGACUUAUCAACCAUUUCUCUCAAUAUCCUCCAACCUAAGGUUAAUUAUAGAAUUAGGGAAAACCCCAACCCUCUUACCUUCUUCCUCCAUUUUUCCUGUCUUUCCCAAAUAAACCCUUACUUGAGAUAAAA